CAAAGAUAGAUUUAUGGGUGACAACACACGCCUUUUAUAUGAUUUAAUGCACUAUCUUGAGGAAAAUAAUAAGACAGGUCUUUUAUUACUUGUUGAUUUUGAAAAGGCCUUUGAUUCCUUAGAAUCGUUAUUUUUUUAAAAUUCUUUAAAAAGCUUUAAUUUUGGGCCUUCAGUUUGUAAAUGGCUUGAAACUUUAUAUUCAGGGGCAUCAAGUUGUGUUAUAAAU
rnacentral:lncRNA from 1 species